GGAAUCUUCCACAAUGGACGCAAGUCUGAUGGAGCAACGCCGCGUGAGUGAAGAAGGUUUUCGGAUCGUAAAGCUCUGUUGUUGGUGAAGAAGGAUAGAGGCAGUAACUGGUCUUUAUUUGACGGUAAUCAACCAGAAAGUCACGGCUAACUACGUGCCAG
rnacentral:rRNA from 1 species